GAUGCCUGCUGCCGAUGCUCAGA
rnacentral:misc_RNA from 1 species